UGAGCAAUCUGCCCUUCUCUUUGGAAUAAGCGUUGGAAACGACGUCUAAUGCCGAAUACGACCUCCUUUCGCAUGAUCGGAGGUGGAAAGCUCCGGCGGAGAAGGAUGAGCUCGCGGCCUAUCAGCUAGUUGGUGUGGGUAAUGGCCCACCAAGGCGACGACGGGUAGCCGGCCUGAGAGGGUGACCGGCCACACGUGGGACUGAGACACGGCCCAGACCUCCGUACGGGAGNAGCG
rnacentral:rRNA from 1 species